UACGUAGGGGGCAAGCGUUGUCCGGAUUUAUUGGGCGUAAAGAGCGUGUAGGCGGCUAGACAGGUCCGCUGUGAAAACUCGAGGCUCAACCUCGAGACGUCGGUGGAAACCGUCUGGCUAGAGUCCGGAAGAGGAGAGUGGAAUUCCUGGUGUAGCGGUGAAAUGCGCAGAUAUCAGGAAGAACACCCGUGGCGAAGGCGGCUCUCUGGGACGGUACUGACGCUGAGACGCGAAAGCGUGGGGAGCGAACAGG
rnacentral:rRNA from 1 species